rnacentral:rRNA from 1 species
GGACAGAACAAAGGGCAGCGAAACCGCGAGGUUAAGCCAAUCCCACAAAUCUGUUCUCAGUUCGGAUCGCAGUCUGCAACUCGACUGCGUGAAGCUGGAAUCGCUAGUAAUCGCGGAUCAGCAUGCCGCGGUGAAUACGUUCCCGGGCCUUGUACACACCGCCCGUCACACCACGAGAGUUUGUAACACCCGAAGUCGGUGAGGUAACCUUUUAGGAGCCAGCCGCCGAAGGUGGGACAGAUGAUUGGGGUGAAGUCGUAACAAGGUAGCCGUAUCGGAAGGUGCGGUUGGA